UACGGAGGGAGCUAGCGUUGUUCGGAAUUACUGGGCGUAAAGCGCACGUAGGCGGCUUUCUAAGUCGGGGGUGAAAUCCUGGAGCUCAACUCCAGAACUGCCUUCGAUACUGGAAAGCUCGAGUCCGGGAGAGGUGAGUGGAACUGCGAGUGUAGAGGUGAAAUUCGUAGAUAUUCGCAAGAACACCAGUGGCGAAGGCGGCAUCCUGGACCAACACUGACACUGAGGAGCGAAAGCCAGGGGGAGCAAACGGG
rnacentral:rRNA from 1 species